CUCCUUCCCAUUCCGAACAGGAAAGUUAAGGUCUAUAGCGCCGAUGGUACUGCAUGGGAGACUGUGUGGCAGAGUAGGACGUUGCGAGGU
rnacentral:rRNA from 1 species